GUGGGGAAUAUUGGACAAUGGGCGCAAGCCUGAUCCAGCAAUGCCGCGUGUGUGAAGAAGGCCCUCGGGUUGUAAAGCACUUUUAUCAGGAGCGAAAUCUGCAAGGUUAAUACCUUUGCAGUCUGACGGUACCUGAGGAAUAAGCACCGGCUAACUCCGUGCCAGCAGCCGCGGUAAUACGGAGGGUGCAAGCGUUAAUCGGAAUUACUGGGCGUAAAGCGUGCGUAGGCGGUUCGUUAAGUCUGCUGUGAAAGCCCCGGGCUCAACCUGGGAAUGGCAGUGGAUACUGGCGAGCUAGAGUGUGUCAGAGGAUGGUGGAAUUCCCGGUGUAGCGGUGAAAUGCGUAGAGAUCGGGAGGAACAUCAGUGGCGAAGGCGGCCAUCUGGGACAACACUGACGCUGAGGCACGAAAGCGUGGGGAGCAAACAGG
rnacentral:rRNA from 1 species